AUUGAACGCUGGCGGCGUGCCUAACACAUGCAAGUCGAGCGGUAACAGGUGUAGCAAUACAUGCUGACGAGCGGCGGACGGGUGAGUAACGCUUGGGAAUCUGCCUGUUAGUGGGGGACAACCCGGGGAAACUCGGGCUAAUACCGCAUACGCACUACGGUGGAAAGCCGGGGACCGCAAGGCCUGGCGCUAACAGAUGAGCCCAAGUCGGAUUAGCUAGUUGGUAGGGUAACACGCCUACCAGGGCGACGAUCCGUAACUGGUCUGAGAGGACGACCAGUCACACCGGAACU
rnacentral:rRNA from 1 species